rnacentral:rRNA from 1 species
GAGUUUGAUCGUGGCUCAGGAUGAACGCUGGCGGCAUGCCUAAUACAUGCAAGUCGAACGGACAGAAGAGAAAAGCUUGCUUUUUUGGAAGUCAGUGGCGAACGGGUGAGUAACACGUAGGUAACCUGCCCAUGUGCCCGGGAUAAUUUCUGGAAACGGAAACUAAAACCGGAUAGGUAGGGAUCUCGCAUGAGGACCUUAUUAAAGGGGCUACGGCCCUGAACAUGGAUGGACCUGCGGUGCAUUAGCUGGUUGGUGGGGUAACGGCCUACCAAGGCGACGAUGCAUAGCCGACCUGAGAGGGCGAACGGCCACAUUGGGACUGAGACACGGCCCAAACUCCUACGGGAGGCAGCAGUAGGGAAUUUUCGUCAAUGGGGGAACCCUGAACGAGCAAUGCCGCGUGAGUGAAGACGGUUUUCGGACUGUAAAGCUCUGUUGUAAGAGAAAAACGGCCGACAUAG